UACGUAGGGUGCAAGCGUUAAUCGGAAUUACUGGGCGUAAAGCGUGCGCAGGCGGUUUUGUAAGUCUGUCGUGAAAUCCCCGGGCUCAACCUGGGAAUUGCGAUGGAGACUGCAAGGCUAGAAUCUGGCAGAGGGGGGUAGAAUUCCACGUGUAGCAGUGAAAUGCGUAGAGAUGUGGAGGAACACCGAUGGCGAAGGCAGCCCCCUGGGUCAAGAUUGACGCUCAUGCACGAAAGGCGUGGGGA
rnacentral:rRNA from 1 species